rnacentral:lncRNA from 1 species
UUGUAGUCACAAAGGGAUAGCUGAUGUUUAAAGCAAUAUGUGCUAUGGUAUGUUAAGUUCUAUUAAUGUGAGGUGCUAUGGUUGGAAGUACCAUGAGUGUCACAAGUUGGAUUAAUGAAGUAAGUUGUUAUAAAGGUAGCAGAUAUUUAUCUGAAUAUUGGUUAAUAUAGUAAACCAAGUUUCAAAUCCAAUAUUUUGAAUACAUGACUAUUUGAGUAGAAAAUUUUGUGUUAUAUGUCGAACGUAUACAAUGAGGCUUAGAAUGUAAGGAAAUGAAGAAUAAUUACGAUUAUGCCACCGUGACGAAAACGAAAACCAGCUGUGGAAGAUCAAC